rnacentral:lncRNA from 1 species
UAUUUAUCUUUCAUCUGUUUUUACAUUUUAGUGGGUGUUGUCAGCAAGUGAAUGAAUCAAGCUGGGAGCCUUUUCACCAAGAAUACAAUUAAAAGAGACUGAAUAUGGACCGCUUAAACGACACAUUCCAAAGUGGUCUUUCAUCGCAGCACUUUGUCCAAAAUGAAGAACCACUCUACAAGGAGUACAGGCCUCCCCCAAAAGACAUCAUCCAGCUCCCUAAAGCUGUUCUCUACCUCAUCAUGGCUGCUCUGGUCGUUGUUGCUGUUGCUUACGCCAUCGUUGGUCACCUGAUCAAAGAUCUCCUGCUGGAUAUAACAGACUGUUUGCUGGGCCCGCUCGAUGAUGACCUGACAAAAGACAGCAAGGCGCCAGAAGGAGUCAGCCCCCUGAACAUGCCCGCCGCCCUCAACCACUCACACCCAAAUGCCUUCCACGUGUGGGACCAGGACGACAUCAUCAUCCCCAUGACUCCCACAGGCCACAGCCCCCUGACCAGCCCUUUCAUUUCCGUCAUCCCGUACAUCCCUCCCUUCUUUCCCAGCCACCUCAACAUGGGCAGCCCGGCUUACAAUUAUCCCAUCCCAAAGGACAGCGAAGCCUGAGGCCACAUGAAGCUCCAACCGGUGGCCCUGGAUCGAAGCACGGAGUUUUCACCUUUAGGGUGUGAAACACCCCUAAAGAAAAGAACCUGGCAAGUUCCUACAGGACCUGCAAGAACCUAUGAAGGCAUCUGGAUUAUCUCUGCUGCACUUAAUCAAGAAUAAAAGGCCAGUCUGAUGAGAUGUUCCUCAGUGGUUUUCUGCUUGAGGAUCCGAGCCAGGUUGGAAUCAUGGCUGUUGAGGUCCCUGGAGAGGAGCUAAUGAUCACAUGAGACCUAGAAAUGCAGCAAAGUGAAGUCUUUCCUAUAUUCUCCAUCCAUCCACGUUACCUUUCAGGGAAGCUUUCAGUCUUCCAAGGGUUUAACAAGUGUUCCUGAAUUCAGAUUGAAUGUCCCUGUGCAAAAUAAAGAUGGACAUUUGCUGAGAUAAUUCUGGCUCUGGAAUUUUUGAGUUAUACUGAUUCACAAUAUGUUCAGGAGAGUUUGAGGAUUAAACCAAAACAGUAGUUUAGAUUCAGGUUGUACAUAUUUGCAGUAGCAUCGAAUGAAACACACAUUAGACGGGGAACUAGCCUGUUACCUUGGUAGUGCAGGAUCACCAGAUUAACUGUUAUAUGAGUGACACUUGAUGUUAUGAAAUAUAAUUUGCUGCUGCAGAAGAACACAGCGCUCACAUUUGCAGUUACACAACAUUUCAGGGAUACUGGAGGAGA